GAUGAACGCUGGCGGCGUGCCUAAUACAUGCAAGUCGAGCGAACAGACGAGGAGCUUGCUCCUCUGACGUUAGCGGCGGACGGGUGAGUAACACGUGGAUAACCUACCUAUAAGACUGGGAUACCUUCGGGAACCCGGAGCUAAUACCGGAUAAUAUAUUGAACCGCAUGGUUCAAUAGUGAAAGCCGGUUUUGCUGUCACUUAUAGAUGGAUCCGCGCCGCAUUAGCUAGUUGGUAAGGUAACGGCUUACCAAGGCAACGAUGCGUAGCCGACCUGAGAGGGUGAUCGGCCACACUGGAACUGAGACACGGUCCAGACUCCUACGGGAGGCAGCAGUAGGGAAUCUUCCACAAUGGGCGAAAGCCUGACGGAGCAACGCCGCGUGAGUGAUGAAGGUCUUCGGAUCGUAAAACUCUGUUAUUAGGGAAGAACAAAUGUGUAAGUAACUAUGCACGUCUUGACGGUACCUAAUCAGAAAGCCACGGCUAACUACGUG
rnacentral:rRNA from 1 species